CAGCAUCCUUCACCGAAGCACGAAGCAGAAUCAAGCUGUUGCCAUGAAGCUUGUUUCAAGAGCUCAGAAAUACUCCAGGGACUCCUUUACUACUGCUUUUCAAAGAGGCCUUUUUUUCUCUCUUCUCCUUUUCCUGCAAAGAGGGUUAUAUCCAGUGCUCAAGGACAUGGGAUUAUCAGCCUAAGGCAUGAGUACAUGCUGUGGAAACAGAAAUAUGUAUGAAGGGAUGUAUGAAACCACAGAAUAAAUGGAAUCCACAUUCUUGAAGUAGCUACAACUCUACUUGAGGUCCCAAGGCACGUAGAUAGUACCUAUACAUCUCAUCAGGAACAUGGAUGGUUCUCUGCUAUCAGCUGAAGUGCUGUGACCACAAAACUGAAAAUUCCCAUUCUGUGUCCUUGCCAAUAAAGAAUGUCCAUCAGAGCACGCCCAGUAUCCUAGCUCCUUAUCCAGACUGUGCUUCUCAAUGUGACAAGGAAGACUGCAACCCUAUUUGCUUCUGAUAACCUUCCUAUGACUAAGGUAAGACAGCCUUGGGAUAAAGCAAGUUUUGUAUGUGGCAUAAAAGGGAAAGAGAAUGAGCCUGGGCACAUCAAAUACUUCUGAAGUCUCCUUUACAUCUGAACUUAUGAAAAUGUGAGAACAUACAUUUCCCAAUUGCUUGAGCCAAUUUGAGACAGGAUUUCUGUAUGUUUGUUUGUUUGUUUGGCUUUUUCCAGCCCAAGUCCUUUAUCUGGUACAAAUGGGUUGGAGAGAUUAGUAACUGUAAUUGACAUUCCUAUCGGAUGCUGAAACAAUUCAUUAGAAAGCCAGGGAUAUGAGAAGAUUGUCUGGAGAAGGGGGAAAAGUGGAGGUUGGUGCAAAAGGCACCCUGUGUCUCAAGAACCUUAGCAACAGUUAGCCAGUACAGUUUCACGGUUGCAGUAGGUGGGGAAAUGGUAAGCAUAUGUAGUGUUUGGGUUAGAGGGUAGAGAAGAAAUGCAGGUAACUAACAUUUAUUGAGAAUUUAGUUCUUGGCACUGUUUCCAUUUCAGAUAUGUUACUACAUUUUUGCCUCUCAACAGCACUAAGAAGUACAUAUUUAAAGAGAUAGAAACUUGAGACUCUGAGAUAUUAAUAUUCCCACAAUUACUCAGCUAGUAUAAAACUCCUCUCCCAUCCACAGUGCCUCUAAGUUCCUUACCAUCUAUAGCAUAGUUUAAGAAUUUAGGAAGUCAAAAAAGUACAGAAUACAUGUUUAAAAGGGGUCCAUCAAAGGUGCUAACAUGAAGACGAUGUAUUGUUAUCUCCCAACUCUAAGGAAUAUUUGCUAAUUCAGAAUAGAUUCAGAAUAAAUCAUUCCUGAAUGCUUCAGGGUUUUUG
rnacentral:lncRNA from 1 species